GAGAAGACUCCAGUGAGAUGCUCUAUUGCCACAAAUGAGCUUCCUUUUGGUUUUUGCUUUCUUGCCCUUAUCAGCUGCUGAUAUUGUUCAGCUGCCAGAUGUGAUCAUUAUGGAAGGGGGUGCAACCACACUGGCAUGUUCUCAACUUAAGACCAGCCAUACAUAUAUGUCCUGGUACAAGCAAGAGAAGAGGAGGGAAGCCCAUUCACAGUUCCAGCUGGUGGCUUUUACAUCUAAAGGUUCUACAGGAGAAUCUGCCAUUGAAGAACCCUUCAAAAAACGCUUCAAGACCUCAGGGUUGAAGUCAACUGCCUUGCCUCUGUCUCUGGAGAAUGCCCAGCUGGAAGACACAGGCACCUACUACUGUGCUUCACAAGACUACACAGCCGAGCAAAUGCUGAGGAAGCCAAGCCAAAACCUCUUCACAGGAAACUCCCCUGUGGCAGAUCCUUCCCAAUAA